rnacentral:lncRNA from 1 species
CCUUUAUGGAAUGGUGGACAUAAGACUACUGGGGAAGGUCUACCCAGUGUGGACGGCGAGGUAGUAGUCCACACCGACACCUACACAGUGCAACUUCGUCGGAGGGUGGAAUUACAAGCGAAGGUGGAAGACUUAAAAAGGAUUACGUGGAUUUAUACCGGACUCAUUUAGGAAGUUGUAUAAUGAACUCCAUGCCUGGCUAUUUUCUUGAAUGGUCGGCCCUGGACUUCAGUAUGACAAGCGCGUGUUCAACGAGAUGGUAUCCCACUACUUCCCUAUCAUGUUGGAUGUAAAGCUGCGCCUUUAUGGAAUGGUGGACAUAAGACUACUGGGGAAGGUCUACCCAGUGUGGACGGCGAGGUAGUAGUCCACACCGACACCUACACAGUGCAACUUCGUCGGAGGGUGGAAUUACAAGCGAAGGUGGAAGACUUAAAAAGGAUUACGUGGAUUUAUACCGGACUCAUUUAGGAAGUUGUAUAAUGAACUCCAUGCCUGGCUAUUUUCUUGAAUGGUCGGCCCUGGACUUCAGUAUGACAAGCGCGUGUUCAACGAGAUGGUAUCCCACUACUUCCCUAUCAUGUUGGAUGUAAAGCUGCGCCUUUAUGGAAUGGUGGACAUAAGACUACUGGGGAAGGUCUACCCAGUGUGGACGGCGAGGUAGUAGUCCACACCGACACCUACACAGUGCAACUUCGUCGGAGGGUGGAAUUACAAGCGAAGGUGGAAGACUUAAAAAGGAUUAAGUGAAUUUAUACCGGACUCAUUUAGGAAGUUGUAUAAUGAACUCCAUGCCUGACUAUUUUCCUGAAAGUGAUUUUGAGGGGGACUGCAGCUCCUAAAACAUAACAAUGGCGCAUAGGGCCAAAAUAGCAUAAAUCACAUCACGGGGAUUUUCUUUCUUUAAAAAAAGGAAGAGGCCGAUCCCGUUGUAGCUUUAUUUUGCCUGUUUACAAUUGCCCGAUAAAACGUAUAACAGUCACGUGAUUUGAACCUGCGCUAUGUCUAUUCAUACCCAAAGUUCGACGUCUCCGUUGUGAUAAACUUGCCAAAGUCAAAAUUGACAAAAAGCAAAUUGGCGUUUGAAAUAUUCCUUUCCAAUUAUCCGUCAUCAAUAAUAUAUUUUGAACAAAGAAAAGUUUAUGAUCACUUUUCAAUAAUAUUUUAAACCUGAUAUGACUACUUACCAGAUAUAGAUCAGUAUCCCAUAUGGAUUUAUGUAGUAUUAAUAAUCUUGUUAUUACACAAAUGUUUAAAGUACCGAUAAUGUUUUGAUUUUUUAAAUAAAAAUAUGUAACUUUCAUUGCUAUUUAGUGUGUAUUUUUAAUGGAUUAGUAUUUAGUAACGUUAAUUAAUCAUUUUUUUUAAGCUGCGCCUUUAUGGAAUGGUGGACAUAAGACUACUGGGGAAGGUCUACCCAGUGUGGACGGCGAGGUAGUAGUCCACACCGACACCUACACAGUGCAACUUCGUCGGAGGGUGGAAUUACAAGCGAAGGUGGAAGACUUAAAAAGGAUUACGUGGAUUUAUACCGGACUCAUUUAGGAAGUUGUAUAAUGAACUCCAUGCCUGGCUAUUUUCUUGAAUGGUCGGCCCUGGACUUCAGUAUGACAAGCGCGUGUUCAACGAGAUGGUAUCCCACUACUUCCCUAUCAUGUUGGAUGUAAAGCUGCGCCUUUAUGGAAUGGUGGACAUAAGACUACUGGGGAAGGUCUACCCAGUGUGGACGGCGAGGUAGUAGUCCACACCGACACCUACACAGUGCAACUUCGUCGGAGGGUGGAAUUACAAGCGAAGGUGGAAGACUUAAAAAGGAUUACGUGGAUUUAUACCGGACUCAUUUAGGAAGUUGUAUAAUGAACUCCAUGCCUGGCUAUUUUCUUGAAUGGUCGGCCCUGGACUUCAGUAUGACAAGCGCGUGUUCAACGAGAUGGUAUCCCACUACUUCCCUAUCAUGUUGGAUGUAAAGACUACUGGGGAAGGUCUACCCAGUGUGGACGGCGAGGUAGUAGUCCACACCGACACCUACACAGUGCAACUUCGUCGGAGGGUGGAAUUACAAGCGAAGGUGGAAGACUUAAAAAGGAUUACGUGGAUUUAUACCGGACUCAUUUAGGAAGUUGUAUAAUGAACUCCAUGCCUGGCUAUUUUCUUGAAUGGUCGGCCCUGGACUUCAGUAUGACAAGCGCGUGUUCAACGAGAUGGUAUCCCACUACUUCCCUAUCAUGUUGGAUGUAAAGCUGCGCCUUUAUGGAAUGGUGGACAUAAGACUACUGGGGAAGGUCUACCCAGUGUGGACGGCGAGGUAGUAGUCCACACCGACACCUACACAGUGCAACUUCGUCGGAGGGUGGAAUUACAAGCGAAGGUGGAAGACUUAAAAAGGAUUAAGUGAAUUUAUACCGGACUCAUUUAGGAAGUUGUAUAAUGAACUCCAUGCCUGACUAUUUUCCUGAAAGUGAUUUUGAGGGGGACUGCAGCUCCUAAAACAUAACAAUGGCGCAUAGGGCCAAAAUAGCAUAAAUCACAUCACGGGGAUUUUCUUUCUUUAAAAAAAGGAAGAGGCCGAUCCCGUUGUAGCUUUAUUUUGCCUGUUUACAAUUGCCCGAUAAAACGUAUAACAGUCACGUGAUUUGAACCUGCGCUAUGUCUAUUCAUACCCAAAGUUCGACGUCUCCGUUGUGAUAAACUUGCCAAAGUCAAAAUUGACAAAAAGCAAAUUGGCGUUUGAAAUAUUCCUUUCCAAUUAUCCGUCAUCAAUAAUAUAUUUUGAACAAAGAAAAGUUUAUGAUCACUUUUCAAUAAUAUUUUAAACCUGAUAUGACUACUUACCAGAUAUAGAUCAGUAUCCCAUAUGGAUUUAUGUAGUAUUAAUAAUCUUGUUAUUACACAAAUGUUUAAAGUACCGAUAAUGUUUUGAUUUUUUAAAUAAAAAUAUGUAACUUUCAUUGCUAUUUAGUGUGUAUUUUUAAUGGAUUAGUAUUUAGUAACGUUAAUUAAUCAUUUUUUUUAUGCUGCGCCUUUAUGGAAUGGUGGACAUAAGACUACUGGGGAAGGUCUACCCAGUGUGGACGGCGAGGUAGUAGUCCACACCGACACCUACACAGUGCAACUUCGUCGGAGGGUGGAAUUACAAGCGAAGGUGGAAGACUUAAAAAGGAUUACGUGGAUUUAUACCGGACUCAUUUAGGAAGUUGUAUAAUGAACUCCAUGCCUGGCUAUUUUCUUGAAUGGUCGGCCCUGGACUUCAGUAUGACAAGCGCGUGUUCAACGAGAUGGUAUCCCACUACUUCCCUAUCAUGUUGGAUGUAAAGACUACUGGGGAAGGUCUACCCAGUGUGGACGGCGAGGUAGUAGUCCACACCGACACCUACACAGUGCAACUUCGUCGGAGGGUGGAAUUACAAGCGAAGGUGGAAGACUUAAAAAGGAUUACGUGGAUUUAUACCGGACUCAUUUAGGAAGUUGUAUAAUGAACUCCAUGCCUGGCUAUUUUCUUGAAUGGUCGGCCCUGGACUUCAGUAUGACAAGCGCGUGUUCAACGAGAUGGUAUCCCACUACUUCCCUAUCAUGUUGGAUGUAAAGACUACUGGGGAAGGUCUACCCAGUGUGGACGGCGAGGUAGUAGUCCACACCGACACCUACACAGUGCAACUUCGUCGGAGGGUGGAAUUACAAGCGAAGGUGGAAGACUUAAAAAGGAUUACGUGGAUUUAUACCGGACUCAUUUAGGAAGUUGUAUAAUGAACUCCAUGCCUGGCUAUUUUCUUGAAUGGUCGGCCCUGGACUUCAGUAUGACAAGCGCGUGUUCAACGAGAUGGUAUCCCACUACUUCCCUAUCAUGUUGGAUGUAAAGGUUGGUUUUAUCUCUGAUAUAGACAGUUAAUGUGGCUAAGAAUAAUAUACCGCAACUCUUUAAGUAUAAGGAUAAUCGUCACAAAGAUCUGGAGAGACGAAAAAAUACCAAAAUCAUUCAAAUGUGCUACCUCCUUCUUUUAAUAUUAAAAAUCAUUGAAUUUAGCAUGUGACGUCAGAGUGUUCUUUCUCUGUACAAGAUCGCCCAAGUUAUCACUUUCUAUUACAUGGGUGGCCAGACACUAACUGCGGCAAUGGAGACUGAUGGUAUUUGGGCUUAGAGGGUGUGCGUGAUGAGUGAAUGUUUUUUUUCGUGUAUACCUGUUUUCACAUUUUGUUUUUAAUCGCGUUGAUUAUUGUAUUUAUAUUAAUAGCUAACCAGGAAAGGCAACGUAGUUUAAUGCAUUUCUACUUUGUUGUAAUUGUAAUUGUUAAAUAAGAACCAUAAGUGAGCUUAAAAUCUAAAAAAACGCCUUAUUUAUCUAUUUAUCCUAGCAACGAUGGACACCAUUUGUAGAAAAAUGAAUUACGAAAACGACUAGUGUUGUUUACAUAUUUGUAUUUCCACCUUGUAAUUCCACCUCGUCGGAGGGUGGAAUUACAAGCGAAGGUGGAAGACUAAAAAAGGAUUACGUGGAUUUAUACCGGACUCAUUUAGGAAGUUGUAUAAUGAACUCCAUGCCUGGCUAUUUUCCUGAAAGUGAUUUUGAGGGGGACUGCAGCUCCUAAAACAUAACAAUGGCGCAUAGGGCCAAAAUAGCAUACAUCACAUCACAGGGAUUUUCUAUCUUUAAAAAAAGGAAGAGGCCGAUCCCGUUGUAGCUUUAUUUUGCCUGUUUACAAUUGCCCGAUAAAACGUAUAACAGUCACAUGAUUUGAACCUGCGCUAUGUCUAUUCAUACCCAAAGUUCGACGUCUCCGUUGUGAUAAACUUGCCAAAGUCAAAAUUGACAAUAAGCAAAUUGACGUUUGAAAUAUUCUUUUCCAAUUAUCCGUCAUCAAUAAUAUAUUUUGAACAAAGAAAAGUUUAUGAUCAUAUUUCAAUAAUAUUUUAAACCUGAUAUGACUACUUACCUGUUAUAGAUCAGUAUCCCAUAUGGAUUUAUGUAGUAUUAAUGUUCUAGUUAUUACAUAAAUGUUUAAAGUACCGAUAAUGUUUUGAUUUUUUAAAUAAAAAUAUGUAACUUUCAUUGCUAUUUAGUGUGUAUUUUUAAUGGAUUAGUAUUUAGUAACGUUAAUUAAUCAUUUUUUUACGCUGCGCCUUUAUGGAAUGGUGGACAUAAGACUACUGGGGAAGGUCUACCCAGUGUGGACGGCGAGGUAGUAGUCCACACCGACACCUACACAGUGCAACUUCGUCGGAGGGUGGAAUUACAAGCGAAGGUGGAAGACUUAAAAAGGAUUACGUGAAUUUAUACCGGACUCAUUUAGGAAGUUGUAUAAUGAACUCCAUGCCUGACUAUUUUCCUGAAAGUGAUUUUGAGGGGGACUGCAGCUCCUAAAACAUAACAAUGGCGCAUAGGGCCAAAAUAGCAUAAAUCACAUCACGGGGAUUUUCUUUCUUUAAAAAAAGGAAGAGGCCGAUCCCGUUGUAGCUUUAUUUUGCCUGUUUACAAUUGCCCGAUAAAACGUAUAACAGUCACGUGAUUUGAACCUGCGCUAUGUCUAUUCAUACCCAAAGUUCGACGUCUCCGUUGUGAUAAACUUGCCAAAGUCAAAAUUGACAAAAAGCAAAUUGACGUUUGAAAUAUUGCUUUCCAAUUAUCCGUCAUCAAUAAUACAUUUUGAACAAAGAAAAGUUUAUGAUCAUAUGUCAAUAAUAUUUUAAACCUGAUAUGACUACUUACC